UACGGAGGGGGCUAGCGUUAUUCGGAAUUAUUGGGCGUAAAGGGCGCGUAGGCGGCCCGGUAAGUCAAAGGUGAAAUCCCUCGGCUCAACUGAGGAACUGCCUUUGAAACUGUCGGGCUUGAGGCCGGGAGGGGGUAGCGGAAUUCCCAGUGUAGCGGUGAAAUGCGCAGAUAUCGGGAGGAACACCAAUGGCGAAGGCAGCUCGCUGGGACGGUACUGACGCUGAGACGCGAAAGCGUGGGGAGCAAACAGG
rnacentral:rRNA from 1 species